AUAAAACGGUUUAUUGCAGAUUGCGAUUUGCGUGCAUUGGUUUGGUUUCAAUUUUCAAGAAACCUAACCAAACUGCAAAAUUGUUGUUUUAAAUUUCUAUAAACCAAACCGUAAACCAAAUUAGUCAAAUAAAUAAAUAAAUAAAUAAAAACAAUACUGAACAGCUUUAGAUUUGGGCUUGGUGCGAUUGAGAUCAAACUCUGGAUUUCCCUAAAUAAAAUACGAAGUAUGGAGUAUGAGAGUAUGAGACAAACAAAUACGAGUAGGCAUAAAAGGGAGUUUUUUGUUAAUUAUUGGGCUUGCACUUUGAUUCAGCAGCAAACCCCUCGACCCAUUCCAAAACCAAAAUAUAGUAUUAAACUAAUAUUUCAUUAUUUCCUCUAUUCUUUCCUACUUGACAUGUUUCACGCUUAUCAAUGCAAAACUUUUUAACAAUCUAUUGGGUUCUGUUGGGCUGUUAUUGUGGGCUUUUUAUUCUUGAUGGGCUGUUUUGUUGAUGGGUUCUAUUUCGCCUCCUCUUUGGGUUUUUGGAGAUCAAUAAUUUAUUUAUUUACAAUUGUCUUGAAGAUGGUGUCUGUUAAUCAAGUCAAGGAUGAAGAAGCAAUGAGGUUUUCUCAAAAAAAAAAAAAAAAAAAAAGCAAUGAGGUCAGCGUCGGUUUUUUUGUUUCAAUUAUUAAAAACUAAUAUUGAUUUCUGGUUAAAAUUUAAAAUUAAAUUAUUAAUGCUAAUCUUUACCCCUUUUUCUAUAAAUAUGAGCAACAAAACUACUGUUGCUUAUGAACAGUACUCGGGGGGUACUGUACCUUAGGAACAGAGAAUUUCCAGUUUCGGCCCUGCAAUUAAGUUCUCUGGUGUUUUGGAUUUCCCGGUUUUCCUCUCAUCCUCUUAUUUUGCUUUUCCCUUUUUGAUUCAAUCAUCUAAUAUCUCCUCUCCUUUUGAUUCACUCUCUCUCAUCUGAACUUGAAUUGUAUCGCUUUUUUUGUUUGAAUUUAGAGGAAAACAACUGAUUUUCAGAAUUUAGGAGAAAGUAUAUGUGAUUAUGAUGCAGCAAUUGCUGCCGGUGACAUGCGAAUAUGGAUGAACGGAGCGCAAAUGGAUGUUUUCGAACCGCAGAAGUCGAGGAUGAAAGCAUUUAGAUGAGCUCCACUAUUUCCUGUCGAUCAAACACUCAUGUUGGCUCUCUGGAGGAGAUCGAGAAGAUGGAGAUUGAUAGAGGAUGAGACUGAGAAAGUCAAAGGCUUUUCAGCAGAGACAACAACAUCUAUUAGAUAAAGACUUAUGAUCUUGGGACGUCUAGCGAAUGAAGAAGAUCUCAGUUUGAGACUCUGAAUGUAGUAGAGUCGUAAAAAAGAGCUACUUAAUGCAUACAAUGAGAAAUCUGUCCUGUCAAGCCCUAAGCACGAGUUUUACUCAGCAAGAAAAUUUCAUGUUUUCAUAACUAUAAUCUGAGCAUUUAUAUCAUAUGCUAUGAAAAAUAUGGUUUUCUAAUCGCUACAAGUCGUUGGUGGUAGAAGCAAAGUUUAGGAAAAGGGGGAAAGAUAGGAGCUCAUAACAUCUGAGCUUGUCAUGCAACUUCUUUAUAUAUUAAAUGAGGAAUAGUGGCUGCUUAAAAUAGAUUAAAGCUCACAAAAACGUUAGAUCAGGUAGCUUUCCUCACAUUUUUUGUAGCUUUUCUCACAAACCUUGAAAUAAUUGUAGUUUUACAUUACACUGAUAUUAGAGGGAUAUGGUGAUUAUCAGUGACUACUUGCAAAAAAAAAAUCAAAUUUGUGUUUUUCCUAUGUCUUUUCAUUGUAGUAUUAUGUUGGACUAUGAAAUGAGAGUGAUUGCCAGAGACUAUCGAUCACUAGGCUCUCUGUUCUUUCAUUCGUGUGUCAAUUUAAGGGUUCUCAAGAUAUCAGGUAUUACCAUUGCAAAUUUGCAAUGAAGGUUAGAAGGGUGCUCAAUUUUAUAUUAUUAUUUGUAAAAAUUUUACCAAACAAAUUAGUGACUUAAUCUCCUAAUUACUCGGCAUAAUUUUAAUUUAUCAAGCCUGGGAAUCAUCUCAGUAGUAAUUUAUUUGUCUUUGUAAUUGUGUUUCUAAUUUAAAAAUAUUUGUUGGUUAAUAUUGCCUAUGUUACUCGGACUAGGGUACCCAUGGCCGACACAGGUACGUGUUCAAGUGUCCGACUCAACUAUUUUUUGAAAAUUUUCUAUGAUUUCUUGUAUAAUUGAAACUAACACAUUUGAAAAUGAUCCUAGGAUUAAUUAUGACUCAUUUGAGGCUCAGUUCUUAGUGUCCAUUGGAGCUCAUCGAUUUAGUGGUUUUGAAUAGGUAUUUAAUGGACAUAAAAGAGAUUUUCGUGAAGUUUGAUGAAUAUAUAUCUAUAUUAAUUGACUUGAAUAUUUGGUUUUUGAAAUUGGGUGGUCAUUCUCUUCUUCCCAAAUGUCUCAUAUUAAGCUAUAUGAUGGUGCACCUGAUUGCUAUGGUUGAUUUGUCAUGAAGCAGCUUGUAGCCACUGUCACUUUAGAUAAAGUAUUGAUUAGGCUUGCUGGCUUUUUUACAAAGUACCAUGUGGUUAUUUGGUGAAUUAGUGAGUUAAUUUACUGAAUUAGUGAGUUAGUUAUUGAUUUAUUUACUCAUACCAGUUCUCUAAUUUGCUUUCAGUUUCUGGGCUGUUUAAGAUAAUGAAGAAACUGUUUGUUACCUACAUUCCCCAAUUUCAUGUCAAAUAAUCUUUUUGAUUUUUGUCAUUUUUUUCCCUUUCUUUUAAUUAGUAUGUGUUAAUCUUUGAAGUUAGAUUCUGAAAUUGUAGGAUUAUUGAUUUGUUAUCUGGGUCAUAGUAAUUGAGGCUAGACAGAAGGGUGUUAAGGAAAAUACUUUAAAUUAAGAGAUGGGAUUUCAUUGUCCUAAAUCAGAAUUGGAGAAUAUAACACACCAUUUUUGGGUCAAUCACUGUAAUUUAGGUGGUUCUUUGAGUAAUAUAAAUUUGAAAAUUUUGUACAUAAACGACAUAAUGACAGCAAACUUGUGGGAUUUUUUGUAUUACAGCGUGUAGCUAGGUUUCUAAAUUUUAUUUCAUCGAGAAUCAUAUGAAGCAAUAUUACUUCUAAUAGUCAUGCAUCUUGCUGGUUGUUCUAUGUGUUGGUUAUGACUUAGUGAUCAAUUUCUGCCAUUCGCAAUUUCAGAUUCUUUCUUAGAUCGAACAAAGUCAUGCAGAUUGCUUUAGGUCGUUCUGCUUCUGAUGAGUUUAAAUCUGGUCUUCAUAAAAUUUCAAAGAAUAUUUGAAGAGUUUGAAGUUUUUGAUUUUGCAAGGACGGGAUGUCUCGCUACCGAGAAGCUUCUAGCCUAAGACGAUGAAAAUAACGUCAGAGCAUUGCACAUAUGGGGAAAAACAAGAACGUAACCAGGGCAAAUAAACAUAUUCAGCUAGAGAAGACUUGGUAAAAGCUGUAGCUAGAAACAGAAGGGGCGUGACAAAGCAAUGCUGCGACAAAGAACUGAACCCAAGAGAUCUAUUGUAAAAUCUUCGAGGCUGCUUGAUGUGUUUAGUUUAUUGCAGGCUUACUUGUACCUUUUUCUUACAUGUGAUGUGUUCUUUACCUUUUGUUACAUUUUUCUUCACAUUUUGUAAAAUUUAUUCUUGGAGUUUCUUCGCUAAAUUUUCUUAGUAUUAUUUCAUGAAGUUAUGACUAGCU